GCCAGGCAGUGACAAGUGCCUGUAGCCCGAGCUACUCAGAAGGCUGAGGCAGGUGGAUCACUUGAGCCCAGGAGUUCUGGGCUGUAGUGUGCUAUGCUGAUUGGGUGUCUGCACUAAAUUCAGCAUCAAUAUAGUAACCUCCCAGGAGCUGGGGACCACCAGGUUGCCUAAAGAGGGGUGAACCAGCCCAGGUUGGAAAUGGAGCAGGUCAAAGCUCCUGGGCUGAUCGGUAGUGGCUUCAUGCCUGUGAAGAGCCACUGCAUUCUAGCUUGGGCAACACAGUGAGACCCCAUCUCUA
ensembl:misc_RNA Metazoa_SRP Metazoan signal recognition particle RNA